ensembl:lncRNA
GGAGGAAGCCGAGCCUGAUGGUUGCUGGAAGUAGAAAGGCGCCGUGGCGACUGACGACAGCGGGUUGGGGGCCUGGACCCGUCCGGGAGUUCCGCAUGGUGUUUCGACGGCGUCCAUCCUGGCGCCAAAUGCUUUGCACCAACUCGGCGAGGGUUCCAAUCAGAAACCUGAACCUAGAAGCUUCCCACCAUCUGCUGGAGCUGUGUUUGGAACGAGAACCAUCCCUCAUCUUUGACCUCCUGUCCAUCCCUCAUCCCACAUCUGACCCACAACAGCCUGGUCCCAGUGACCCACAGCAGCCAGCCUGGUGCAUUUGCACCAAAUGCAAGGAGAUGCCUACCGAUAUAGAGUGGAAACGCUGCGGACAACUCCUGGACUCCUGUGUCUCCAUGAUGCCUCACAUUAACGCACACAUAAUGCAGGGUGGGGUUUUGCGGCUGGCCAGGAGGAUCGGGAAUGAUGUCCAUGCUGUGGCUGACCGUCCAGACCCAGG